GAGUUUGAUCAUGGCUCAGGACGAACGCUGGCGGCGUGCCUAACACAUGCAAGUCGAACGAGGUCCAACGGGUGGCAACACCAGGGAAGACCGAGUGGCGAACGGGUGCGGAACACGUGAGCAACCUGCCCCAAAGACCGGGAUAACAGCGGGAAACCGCCGCUAAUACCGGAUAUCCCCACGAGCUCGCAUGGGCUUGUGAGGAAAGGGUUUCCGCUUUGGGAGGGGCUCGCGGCCUAUCAGCUAGUUGGUGAGGUAACGGCUCACCAAGGCGACGACGGGUAGCUGGUCUGAGAGGACGAUCAGCCACACUGGGACUGAGACACGGCCCAGACUCCUACGGGAGGCAGCAGUGGGGAAUCUUGCGCAAUGGGCGAAAGCCUGACGCAGCAACGCCGCGUGGGGGAUGAAGGCCUUCGGGUUGUAAACCCCUUUCAGUGGGAACGAAAUUGACGGUACCCACAGAAGAAGCCCCGGCCAACUACGUGCCAGCAGCCGCGGUGAUACGUAGGGGGCGAGCGUUGUCCGGAUUAUUGGGCGUAAAGAGCUCGUAGGCGGCUUGGUA
rnacentral:rRNA from 1 species